rnacentral:rRNA from 1 species
GACAGAGGUGCCGAGCGUUAGGCGGAAUUACUGGGCGUAAAGCGCGUGUAGGUGGUGGGACAAGUCUGCUGUGAAAGCCCCGGGCUUAACCUGGGAAUGGCCGUUGAAACUGGCGAACUGGAGUGUGGCAGAGGGGGUGGAAUUCCGCGUGUAGCAGUGAAAUGCGUAGAGAUGCGGAGGAACACCGAUGGCGAAGGCAGCCCCCUGGGCUAACACUGACGCUCAGGCACGAAAGCGUGGGGAGCAAACAGG